GUCAUAUGGUAAAAUAAUAUAAUGAGUGUAUCAAACAGUUGAGGUUGAAUCUUCUGUUUCUCCAAAAACAUUUUUUUUAGUGUCAUGGUAAAGUAAUCACACACUUUUUUUAAAUUGAUGACAUUAACUAAAUAUUAGUUAUGACCUAAAAUUUAUAGUAAUUUAAUCCUUUAUUUCUUUUGAAAAAAAAUGUAAGAAUCAAUACUCAAUUAUUUGACAUUUAUUUGGUAAUGAUAUUAUUGGGAGUAUUCCUUAUAAACUAACCGACCAACUUUCAUAGGUUUUCCCUUCCAAACCACAUUUCUUCUCUUCAUUUCUAAAUAAAGUUUAGGACUAAUUUAGAAACACCUAAUAUCACACUAAUGGUUAUAUUUCCAAGACUAUAUAGUUGGAUUCCUAAUUAUACAUCAACCUAUAGAAGUCACUAUUCAAUCCACAUAUCAUUAUUUUCAUUCUAUUGAAGUCAUUAUCCAAACCACGUAUCUAGAUUGAAAUCAUCAAAGUAUAUAGCCAUGUAAUAAUAGUAAGAUCAUUGUAGGUAACCACAUAUAUACAUACCUCAUGACCAUUGCCAGAGAAUACAUCAGGUGCAUCACUGCUCCGAGAGAGUGGAAUUUGUGUUCGUUUCUUACCAUAAUCAUACAAAGAUUUUGCUCUCAACACAUCAUGUACUGUACUCCUCCGCAUAGGAACCGUUCCCUUUGGACACCUUGUCCCAUUUCGAUGCCACAUUUGCCAUGCGUUGUUUCUUACCCCCUCUUUUCCUUUUCCCACUUCCACAUUAGUCUUAGUAAUAUUAUCACUAUCAACAUUCUCAUCUCUCUCCAUUUUCAUACCUCUUGGCAUUUCACUUGGUACUUUCUGUGUUGAAAAAAAAAAAUCAAGUCAUACAUUUAGAAGAUAUAAAGUUUAAAAAGUUUAUAAACAUUGACCUUCUUUAUUUAACAAGUCCAUUUUAUAAAGACAUGUUAAACACAAAAAAAAAAACUAGUAAUAUUACAUUAAUUAUCAAAUCAUAUUCAAUAGUCAACUUUCCAAUAGUUGUACCUGGAUCUUGUGAUUCUUUAAAAGUGGGUGAUCCAAAGCUAGUUGUUUUCUUUUGUGGACACAAUCUAUAAGAUCUCCAUCUGGGCUCUGAAAUUAAUAAUACCAACCAAGAAAAGAUAAUUAAAAAAACCUUAUUAACAAAAAAAAUGAAGGAAAAGUAGAACAUUUUAUUUUGUGUGCAUGAUCAUUAAAAUCUCAACCACUAUCACAUACACAAACAAACACACAUUAUUUGAAACAUUAAUUAAUGGCAAUAAAUAACAUUACCUCAAUGGUGAGAACAGGAGGCUUGUUAAUCUUUUCCAAGUGCUUAUUAAUCCUUUCAAGCCUCAAGCUACUAAUUUGUCUAUACCUUGUGUAGUUUUGGAUGCUGGAUGAUUCAGCCACAGUACCUCUUUGUAGAAGUAUGGCAAUGAAGAAAGUCAGAAGAAGAAGAUGUAGAGUGGAACAGAAACACCUUCUCUUUCUCCCAACAAUAUCCAUAUCUUUCAAUGCAAGGAAAGAAAGACAAGAAUAAACUAGAAAAAUGUGAUUUUCAUGUGCAUUACCAUGCUAAAACACCAACACAAAAGAAGAAAAUGAAAGAAAAAGAUGGAAAAUGACUUGUUCCAAGGCUUCUGUGGUAAUAGUAUUAAUGAUAAAGAAGGGAAAGGUUGGUGAGAUGAAUUAAUUAAGGUGUUGCUCAGAGACUCUUUUGAACUUUCAGCAUCAAAUCAUCAUUGUCUGAAUAUGCAUUUGAUUCAUGUAUUGAUGAUGGUGCAUGAUAUUAUUGAUGAAGUGCUGCUGCAUGCAGUUUGAACGAUUUAAUUUUUGGCUUUGUUUGGGAUUGAACAAAGGGAAAAUUUGUGUGAGGAAUAAUAAGAGAGAAGAAGGGUGGGUUCAAAUGAGUAAGUUGAAACUUAUUGAAAGGAUUCCAUUAUGAAAAGGUAGACCUACCCAACUGAAACAAUGCUCCUUUUAUUGCACUUCUUCAAUGUUGCAUCUGCCACCAUACACUUCGUCAUUAAUACUUCAUAAAUCUAAUUUUUAGACUUACUUGUCCCAUUUAUUUUCUCUUUGUUUUUCA
rnacentral:lncRNA from 1 species